GAUGAACGCUAGCGGCAGGCUUAAUACAUGCAAGUCGAGGGGCAGCAGGACGGUAGCAAUACCGUUGCUGGCGACCGGCAAACGGGUGCGGAACACGUACGCAACCUACCCAUAACUGGUGAAUAGCCCUCCGAAAGGAGGAUUAAUACACCGUAACCUCUUUGAGUGGCAUCACUUGAUGAGUAUAGCUCCGGCGGUUAUGGAUGGGCGUGCGCCUGAUUAGGUAGUUGGCGGGGUAACGGCCCACCAAGCCUGCGAUCAGUAACUGGUGUGAGAGCACGACCAGUCACACUGGGACUGAGACACGGCCCAGACUCCUACGGGAGGCAGCCGUGGGGAAUUUUGGACAAUGGGGGCAACCCUGAUCCCGCAAUGCCGCGUGAGUGAAGAAGGCCUUCGGGUUGUACAGCUCUUUUGUCAGGGAAGAAACACCGUCUCUACCACAGUCCGGGAAUGACGGUACCUGAAGAAUAAGCACCGGCUAACUACGUGCCAGCAGCCGCAGUAACAC
rnacentral:rRNA from 1 species